GGUUACUUCCUGGAACAAUAUCCUGGUGCUGCCUGAGUGUUGUUUAUCGACUCCAGCAUCAGUGAUUUUGUUGCAGGCGGUG